GAGACAAGCAGCACAAAAACACUAGCAAACAAAAGGAAAACAACGACAACAAAAACAAAAACAAAUGCUUGCAWUCGCGGCGAAAUGUAACUGCAUUUCAAAAUUGUCGCCAACGCCGCUGUCGACGCACAUGUGUAUUCGUGCAUGUGUAUGUGUAUUUAUAGAUUAUGAUCUCAAAUUGGCUUAAGUGAAAUCAAGUUGACAGCACGUGGUCGCAAAUCAAACAGAAAUGAACUGUUAAAUGGCUGCCGAGGCUUAUUUGUGCGUCAAUAUUUAAAGCCGGCAAUAGAAGGACUGAGGCGACGGCUCCCGGGACUGAGGCGAACGUGCAUGAACCGAGAUCUGGAGGCUAAUGUAACGAACACAGCCACAAGGGCUGAAGAUGACACAAAGCCAUUUGCGGGGCACAGUUUGAGUUGGUCUCGUCAUCAAUUACCCCUUCCCUGCGUGGUCCCAUUAAGGUCGUGUAGCCAGCCAAACAGCAGCGGAGGCAACAAUAGGCAACAGGCGACGGCAACAGGUCGUCAAGGAGCUCAACCAGCCUCACCCAUCCCACUCAGUCAUAUAAGUGGGCAGCUACGUGACUUUGUCAGCCCACGCAGCUGGAGCCGCAGUCGAGCGUUUAACUGAAGAGCAUCGCCCACUCAGUGAGCCUAGGCUGGGCCCGAUUCACCUGAUGUGGGAGCAUCAGGUGUACUGAAUGUAUGCAAGUGACUUGGUAACCAUUGCCGCUGCUGCCGUUGACACGAUAACUAACAAUCAUGACCGAUGUGUCAGCUACCGCGGGCAAGGCCGGCGAUCGAGUCAGCUCCACAAGCUCCGAGGUGGCUGUGGAGACAACAUCUGAAGCGCUAACCAAUGGUGCCGCAAAGGAACCACUGACAGAAGUAACAGCAGAAGCAACAGCAACAGCAACAGUCACAGCAACAUCAACAGCAACAGUCACAGCAACAACAAAUG